CUGCUCCUAGUACGAGAGGACCGGAGUGGACGCAUCACUGGUGUUCGGGUUGUCAUGCCAAUGGCACUGCCCGGUAGCUAAAUGCGGAAGAGAUAAGUGCUGAAAGCAUCUAAGCACGAAACUUGCCCCGAGAUGAGUUCUCCCUGACCCUUUAAGGGUCCUGAAGGAACGUUGAAGACGACGACGUUGAUAGGCCGGGUGUGUAAGCGCAGCGAUGCGUUGAGCUAACCGGUACUAAUGAACCGUGAGGCUUAACCUUACAACGCCGAAGCUGUU
rnacentral:rRNA from 1 species